GAAGGGCGUUUGGUGAAUGCCUUGGCAGCAAGAGGCGAUGAAAGACGUGAUACUCUGCGAUAAGCCAUGGGGAGCUGAGAAUAAGCUUUGAUCCAUGGAUUUCUGAAUGGGGCAACCCACCUGAAUGUUUGUUAUUGUUAGCACUGCUAAUCAAUAAUGGGCAUAACCAGGUAUUUAUGACCUGAAUACAUAGGGUUAUAAAGGCAAACCCGGGGAACUGAAACAUCUAAGUACCCGGAGGAAAGGAAAUCAAUUGAUACUCCCCUAGUAGCGGCGAGCGAACGGGGACCAGCCGAGCCGGAUAAGUGAGAAGAACAUGUUGGGAAGCAUGGCCAUAGCGGGUGACAGCCCCGUAUUCUAAGCUUUGACGGACGUAUUAAGUAGGGCGGAACACGUGAAAUUCUGUCUGAAGAUCGGAGGACCACCUUCGAAGGCUAAGUACUCCUUGCUGACCGAUAGUGAACCAGUACCGUGAGGGAAAGGUGAAAAGCACCCCGACGAGGGGAGUGAAACAGUACCUGAAACCGAACGCCUACAAUCAGUCGGAGGCUCCUUGCGAGCUGACGGCGUACCUUUUGUAUAAUGGGUCAUCGACUUGGUCUCACGAGCAAGCUUAAGCCGUUAGGUGUAGGCGUAGCGAAAGCGAGUCUUAAUAGGGCGAAUGAGUUCGUGGGAUCAGACCCGAAACCGAGUGAUCUAGGCAUGGCCAGGUUGAAGGUAAGGUAACACUUACUGGAGGACCGAACCCACAUCCGUUGAAAAGGAUCGGGAUGAGCUGUGCCUAGGGGUGAAAGGCCAAUCAAACUCGGAGAUAGCUGGUUCUCUGCGAAAUCUAUUUAGGUAGAGCGUCAUCCGAAUACCCCGGGGGGUAGAGCACUGGAUGGGUAAUGGGGCCCCACAGGCUUACUGAUCCUAACCAAACUCCGAAUACCCGGGAGUACUAGAUGGCAGACACACUGCGGAUGCUAACGUCCGUAGUGGAGAGGGAAACAACCCUGACCUACAGCUAAGGCCCCCAAUUCAUGGCUAAGUGGGAAAGCAGGUGGGACGACCAAAACAACCAGGAGGUUGGCUUAGAAGCAGCCAUCCUUUAAAGAUAGCGUAACAGCUCACUGGUCUAAAUAAGUUGUCCUGCGGCGAAGAUGUAACGGGGCUCAAGCCAUGAGCCGAAGCUUAGGAUGCCGUAAGGCAUGGUAGCAGAGCGUAGUGUGACAUAGUCUCAUUCCUCCUUCACGUCUUCGGGCGGAUUGGAGGAGAGAGGCUUUCGAUGAAGCCGGCGCGUGAGCGAUCCGGUGGAGAGAUCACUAGUGAGAAUGAUGACAUGAGUAGCGACAAAGAGUGUGAGAGACACUCUCGCCGAAAGUCCAAGGGUUCCUGCUUAAAGCUAAUCUGAGCAGGGUAAGCCGGCCCCUAAGCCGAGGCCGAAAGGCGUAGGCGAUGGGAACUAGGUUAAUAUUCCUAGGCCGUGGAGUGGUG
rnacentral:rRNA from 1 species